rnacentral:ncRNA from 20 species
ACGGAUACUCUGACGGGGUUGCACCGUAAAGCAGCCCCAUCCCAGCCCGCA